rnacentral:rRNA from 1 species
UACAGCCACAUCAUGUUUAAACACUAGUUCCUGUAUGAUCACCAAAGUUAGGCAACAUUGAGCCUGGUCAGUACCUAGAUGGGUGACUGCUUGGGAAUAUCAGGUGUGCUG